rnacentral:rRNA from 1 species
GACGGAGGGGGCAAGCGUUGUCCGGAACCACUGGGCGUAAAGAGCACGUAGGUGGUCUGGUGCGUCGGCGCUGAAACCUCUGGGCUUAACCCUGAGCCUGCUUCCGAUACGGGCAGACUAGAGGUAUGCAGGGGAGAAUGGAAUUCCUGGUGUAGCGGUGAAAUGCGCAGAUAUCAGGAGGAACACCGGUGGCGAAGGCGGUUCUCUGGGCAUUACCUGACGCUGAGGAGCGAAAGUGUGGGGAGCGAACAGG